GAGGAGCUUAGCCGGUCCCAGAUCCACUUGAGAGAGAGAGAGAGAGAGAGAGAGGUCUUCUCUCCAUUUGAAGUCUGCUCGUCACUAUCACGAAGACACAGAUAGGUCAUCUCCAUCAAGAUCUUGAUACCCAGUAUUCCUUUCCCUUCUACAUCCUGCUCUAUAGAAUUGAAUUCCUCAUCCCACGAAACCGAAUCCCACUUGUAAAUUUUUAGAUUCCCUAUUAGGUUCUUUCACACAAAUACCGGCUCGAAGCUGAACGAACACACACACACGAAAAAAUAAAUAAAUCUAGUGCUUCGUUCAUGGUUUUCUUCUUUCCUCCAUGAACUGAAACUUCACUUCUUUUACAGCUCCAUACUUUUUCUUUUUUUCCUGUUGCCUUCUGGAUUGGUGAUCAUGUGUGGUUUGGUCUCUUCUAUGGAAACCCACUUGCGAGUCUGAGAAAUAUCCAGAUUUUUUUUCUUUCAUCUUUACUGUACUUGCUUUGCUUUUCUGCGUCGGUAUUUUGAUAAAACCAAUUCGAAUCCUCUAAAUCCUAGUCCAGUUCAAGUCCCAAAUUCCACCAGCACAACACUUUCAAUCUCUCUACCAAACAAUGAUUCGCCAAUUCCUCAAAAGCCAGUAACUUUCAUCUCAAAUUUUGGACUUUUUCUUUCUGGUCGUUUCUAGUUUAAAAUACUGUACAAGUACUGUAAAAGUACUAAAAAUCCAUUCCGUAACCACAAACUCCACCAAAUUCUCCUCAAAACCAAAAACCCAACGCACCAAAUCCUCAAGAAGCCCGAAUCGGCUAGUCAUCAAAGCAAGCCUCUCUUUUUUCUCAUCUCAUUCCUAUAAAAGUUGCACAUAAAAGGAUCAGAAGUUAGAAAAUGCAAGACCCAGCAACAUUCCAACCCAUCAAACCCCACUUCCCAGAGCAAGAACUACUCAAAUGUCCCCGCUGUGACUCCACAAACACCAAGUUCUGCUAUUACAACAACUACAACCUUUCGCAGCCACGCCACUUUUGCAAGAACUGCAGGAGGUACUGGACAAAAGGCGGUGCGCUGAGAAACAUCCCAGUUGGCGGUGGAACCCGUAAGAACGCAAAGCGGGGACCAAAACCAAAACGGUCUUCUUCGUCAUCAUCUUCAUCGUCAACGGCAUCAAAUUCGGUGGUGGAGAAUCGGGGUCCGGAGCAUGACCCCAACCGUCUCUAUGGCUCUAUGGUGGAUCAGGACCGUCGAAUGCUGGAUAUUACGGGGAGCUUUGGUUCACUUCUGGCAUCAAAUGGGCAGUUUUCCAGUCUACUGGAGGGUCUGAAUCCCGAUGGGUCGGGUGUGAAAAUGUUGCAAAUGGGUGAGUUUGCAGAGAAUUUGAAUUCGGGUCAUGUGUUGGAAACAGGUUCAGUUCGAAACCUGGGAAUGGAUGUGCAGAGUGAUAACAAUUCAGAGAGUUAUUUAGGUCUGCAAAGUGGUGAUUCAAGCUGCUGGACUGACAGCAAUGGGUGGCCUGAUCUUUCUAUUUACACACCAGAAACUAGGGUGGCGAAGAGAGGAGCAUGAAUAAGUCGGACUUAUUGUGGCAUUUUCUAGUACUACUGGAGGUGACAUACCACAGGCCGCAACACUAGCAUCCUAUUGUUUUUUUUACAUGAAUGUAUGCCAUUCUUGAGGGCUUUGCAUGUGUGGAGUUCUGUAUGCGUCUCUGCAUUCUUGAAGUCGAAGGAUUUUGAGACGACAUUUUCCUGUUUAUGAAUAAGAUAAUUGAGGGGUGGGGUAAGUUAUGGUUGGGGAAAUCCAAAAGUUCAUAGUCCCGUACUUUCUACCGUCUAUGAAGGGCUAGACAAAAGUUCAACUUCCCUUUCUCAUGGAUAUAAUUUCUUAUUGUAAAGUUUUUGCAGCGGUAUUCUCUGCAAUUUGCAAAGAUUGCUGUUAUUAUAUUAUUAUUAUUUAAUUUUUACUAUUUUUAUGAUAA